rnacentral:rRNA from 1 species
AUGAGUGUUUUAAGCUGGAACAAUCGGGGGCUUGGGAACCCCGAGGCAGUUCGGGAGCUUCGCAGUAUCGUGAAGCUUGAAGGCCCCUCCCUUCUCUUUGUAAUGGAAACUAAAAUCAAAGCAAAAAGAGUUGAGGAUCUGAAGUUUACGCUUGGUUUUGAAGGAAGUUUUGCAGUUGAAAGUGUUGGCCUUAGUGGCGGCAUAGGUCUUUUU